UUGUCUUAGUUGCCAUCAUUAAGUUGGGCACUCUAAAGAGACUGCCGGUGUCAAAACCCGGAGGAAAGGUGGGGAUGACGUCAAGUCCUCAUGGCCUUUAUGACCAGGGCUACACACGUACUACAAUGGCAGGUACAAAGGGCAGCCACUUAGCGAUAAGGAGCGAAUCCCGUAAAACCUGUCUCAGUCCGGAUUGGAGUCUGCAACUCGACUCCAUGAAGUUGGAAUCGCUAGUAAUCGUAGAUCAGCACGCUACGGUGAAUACGUUCCCGGGCCUU
rnacentral:rRNA from 1 species